rnacentral:rRNA from 1 species
CUUAGUACGGCGAGUGAAGCGGCAAAAGCUCAAAUUUGAAAUCUGGUACCUUCGGUGCCCGAGUUGUAAUUUGGAGAGGGCAACUUUGGGGCCGUUCCUUGUCUAUGUUCCUUGGAACAGGACGUCAUAGAGGGUGAGAAUCCCGUGUGGCGAGGAGUGCGGUUCUUUGUAAAGUGCCUUCGAAGAGUCGAGUUGUUUGGGAAUGCAGCUCUAAGUGGGUGGUAAAUUCCAUCUAAAGCUAAAUAUUGGCGAGAGACCGAUAGCGAACAAGUACAGUGAUGGAAAGAUGAAAAGAACUUUGAAAAGAGAGUGAAAAAGUACGUGAAAUUGUUGAAAGGGAAGGGCAUUUGAUCAGACAUGGUGUUUUGUGCCCUCUGCUCCUUGUGGGUAGGGGAAUCUCGCAUUUCACUGGGCCAGCAUCAGUUUUGGUGGCAGGAUAAAUCCAUAGGAAUGUAGCUUGCCUCGGUAAGUAUUAUAGCCUGUGGGAAUACUGCCAGCUGGGACUGAGGACUGCGACGUAAGUCAAGGAUGCUGGCAUAAUGGUUAUAUGCCGCCCGUCUUGA